rnacentral:tRNA from 1 species
CACUAGAUGUCUGAAGGUAAGUAAUGGUCUCUUAAACCACUCAUAGUAAAGUCACAUCUACUUCUAGUG